rnacentral:rRNA from 1 species
UACGUAGGGAGCAAGCGUUGUCCGGAAUCAUUGGGCGUAAAGCGCGCGUAGGCGGCCCUGUAAGUCCGUUGUGAAAGUCAAAGGCUCAACCUUUGAAAGCCGAUGGAUACUGCAGGGCUAGAGUCCGGAAGAGGCGAGUGGAAUUCCUGGUGUAGCGGUGGAAUGCGCAGAUAUCAGGAGGAACACCGGUGGCGAAGGCGGUUCUCUGGGACGGUACUGACGCUGAGACGCGAAAGCGUGGGGAGCGAACAGG